AUUGAACGCUGGCGGCAGGCCUAACACAUGCAAGUCGAACGAGUGGCGGACGGGUGAGUUAUGUCUGGGCAACUGCCUGAUGGAGGGGGAUAACUACUGGAAACGGUAGCUAAUACCGCAUACCAUCGGAUGUGCCUGAAUGGGAUUAGCUUGUAGUUCGGGUAAAGGCUCACCGAGGCGACGAUCCCUAGCUGGUCUUAGAGGAUGACCAGCCACACUGGAACUGAGACACGGACCAGACUCCUACGGGAGGCAGCAGUGGGGAAUAUUGCACAAUGGGCGAAAGCCUGAUGCAGCCAUGCCGCGUGUAUGAAGAAGGCCUUCGGGUUGUAAAGUACUUUCAGCGGGGAGGCGUUACCCGCAGAAGAAGCACCGGCUAACUCCGUGCCAGCAGCCGCGGUAAUUC
rnacentral:rRNA from 1 species